rnacentral:ncRNA from 1 species
UUUCGAGCGAUGAAAAGUUGAGUAGUUAAGGAUCUCAUUUGUUACAGAGAACUCCUGGUGCUGAGAAGGAGAUGAAUGCCCUUAAUGAAUAAAGCCUUGGAGCUUCGUAACGGCCACAUGUUUUGUUUGUGGAAUUUACGACGGAUUCUCCCGUUAUAGGGAUAGGGUAUAAACUGUUCCAAACAGUAGUACCCGAUGAGAUUGGUUUGGUGACAUACCAAUAAACUGAGGUGGUACCGCGAAGUUCACAACUCUCGUCCUCAAG